AACGAACGCUGGCGGCAGGCUUAACACAUGCAAGUCGAGCGCCCCGCAAGGGGAGCGGCAGACGGGUGAGUAACGCGUGGGAAUCUACCCAUCUCUACGGAAUAACGCAUGGAAACGUGUGCUAAUACCGUAUACGUCCUUCGGGAGAAAGAUUUAUCGGAGAUGGAUGAGCCCGCGUUGGAUUAGCUCGUUGGUGGGGUAAAGGCCUACCAAGGCGACGAACCAUAACUGGUCUGAGAGGAUGAUCAGCCACACUGGGACUGAGACACGGCCCAGACUCCUACGGGAGGCAGCAGUAGGGAAUAUUGGACAAUGGGCGCAAGCCUGAUCCAGCCAUGCCGCGUGAGUGAUGAAGGCCCUAGGGUUGUACAGCUCUUUCACCGGUGAAGAUAAUGACGGUAACCGGAGAAGAAGCCCCGGCUAACUUCGUGCCAGCCGCCGCCGUAAGAC
rnacentral:rRNA from 1 species